AAGAGUGGAUAAAGAAACUGGGAAGCCCUUUGAGUUUCUGGAUCAACAAUGCAUAGUUGUUGAUGGAGGAAAAGAAAAAAAACCCAAAAAACAAAAAACAGCCUGUAUGAUGUCAUCAGAGAACGCUCCAUGAAAAAGGGGAGAAAGAAGAUGGAAAAUGUUUGGAUGGCAAGUGAAGAGGAGGGGUGUAGUCAUGAUUGUCAAGUGUCAGGUAGGAGAGGGCAUUGGAUCAUCUGGAACUGGAGUUAUGGAAACUUUUGAGACAACACGAGGAUGUUUGGAAACAAACCUGGGUACUCUGAAAGAACAGAAGGUACUUCUAACUACUCAGCUAUCUCUCCAGCUCCAAGUAUUUGUUAGGCAAUAGUAAUUUU
rnacentral:lncRNA from 1 species